AGCGAGGGAGGGUAGCCAGGAUAUCCCGUCGGGCUCAUAACCCGGAGAUCAGACGUUCAAUUCGUCCCCUCGCUA
rnacentral:tRNA from 1 species